rnacentral:rRNA from 1 species
AACUAACCAGGAUUCCCCUAUAACGGCGAGUGAAGAGGGAAAAGCCCAGCACCGAAGCCUGGGCAGAUUUGUUGUUAGGCAAUGUGGUGUUUAGGUCGGUUCGUGGGACUGUCACUCCACUCGAAGUCCAGCAUUGAGUAUGGUUACCUUAAUUGGCCCAGAGAGGGUGAAAGGCCCGUUCGAGUGGAUGUUGCARAAAUGUAAGACAGUUCAUCAGGCCGGCCUUCGAGUCGGGUUGUUUGAGAAUGCAGCCCAAAGAGGGUGGUAAACUCCAUCCAAGGCUAAAUACUAGCACGAGUCCGAUAGCGAACAAGUACCGUGAGGGAAAGUUGAAAAGUACUCUAAGAGAGUAAACAGUACGUGAAGCCGUAUAGAGGUAAACGGGUGGCGUCAAGCUGCAAGCCUGGAGGAUUCAGUUGGUCGUCGUGUUGUGUACACGCCUUGGUGUGUCAGCCAGGGAUAGUUUGAGUAGUCCGCCGGGAACGGUGGGCCUGGCCGCAAGGUCGGGAUGUAUGUUCCACACGGUAUGUGGUGUACGCUACUUGACUACGGGGCUGGAUGGCCAAUGCACUUCCUCCAUAAAGGUGAUCACCACGACCAGUGGAACUGCCAGUCUGGCGUAGCCGAGUUGUAUCAAGUCCGGCAUUCGUGUCGACUGGGUGCGAUCACAGGCGUACCAGUGGACGGUGAGCUUGCUCAUGUUAUCGGUCACUGGCUGUCAACGGGUCUGUCUGUCGGUGCUUGUAGUGCCUGAUGGGCGGCCUGGUGGGUUGCGUUGGUAUGAAUAACUGUGCAGGGCACUGGAGAUAACGGCCUCAGAUCCGUGUUGGCACGCACACUACAAGUGCAGCAUGGUGGCGUUAAUGCAGCCUGUCGUUGGUCGGGUCUGGUUGUCGUGUUGCCUGCGUAAAGUGGGUUCGGCAGCGGCCUGGUCUCGGUCGGUGUUGUAUUUAGCGUUGCUGUGUGUCAGCCGGUGUUGGUCUUAUAGUCUGUGGUGUAGUGGUAGACGAGCUACCCGACCCGUCUUGAAACACGGACCAAGGAGUUUAACAUGCACGCGAGUCAAAGGGCCUUCCGAAACCCAACGGCGAAAUGAAAGUGAAGUCUCGACUUGUUCUCGAGGCGUGGUGAGAUCCUGUUGUUACUCGCACUGCUUUGUUGGUUCAAGGCAAAGAGCUGCAGGCGCAUCACCGGCCCGUCCCAUGAUGGCCAUUGGUCGGUUGUAGUUGUGACUUCGGUUGCUUCUGCAGCUCCAGUGCGUCAUCGGGGCGGUG